rnacentral:rRNA from 1 species
GUGCCAGCAGCCGCGGUAAUACGAAGGGGGCUAGCGUUGUUCGGAAUUACUGGGCGUAAAGGGCGCGUAGGCGGUCCUGAUCGUCGGAUGUGAAAGGCCUGGGCUCAACCUGGGAAUGGCAUCCGAUACGGCGGGACUGGAGUGUGGGAGAGGUUGGUGGAAUUCCCAGUGUAGAGGUGAAAUUCGUAGAUAUUGGGAAGAACACCGGUGGCGAAGGCGGCCAACUGGACCACAACUGACGCUGAGGCGCGAAAGCGUGGGGAGCAAACAGGAUUAGAUACCCUGGUAGUCC